rnacentral:rRNA from 1 species
GACGAACGCUGGCGGCGUGCCUAAUACAUGCAAGUAGAACGCACAGUUUAUACCGUAGCUUGCUACACCAUAGACUGUGAGUUGCGAACGGGUGAGUAACGCGUAGGUAACCUGCCUGGUAGCGGGGGAUAACUAUUGGAAACGAUAGCUAAUACCGCAUAAUAUUAAUUAUUGCAUGAUAAUUAAUUGAAAGGUGCAAUUGCACCACUACCAGAUGGACCUGCGUUGUAUUAGCUAGUAGGUGAGGUAACGGCUCACCUAGGCGACGAUACAUAGCCGACCUGGGAGGGUGGUCGGCCACACUGGGACUGAGACACGGCCCAGACUCCUACGGGAGGCAGCAGUAGGGAAUCUUCGGCAAUGGACGAAAGUCUGACCGAGCAACGCCGCGUGAGUGAAGAAGGUUUUCGGAUCGUAAAGCUCUGUUGUAAGAGAAGAACGGGUGUGAGAGUGGAAAGUUCACACUGUGACGGUAUCUUACCAGAAAGGGACGGCUAACUACGUG